rnacentral:rRNA from 1 species
UACGAAGGGUGCAAGCGUUACUCGGAAUUACUGGGCGUAAAGCGUGCGUAGGUGGUGAGUUAAGUCUGUCGUGAAAGCCCCGGGCUCAACCUGGGAAUGGCGAUGGAUACUGGCUCGCUAGAGUGCGGUAGAGGAGAGUGGAAUUCCCGGUGUAGCAGUGAAAUGUGUAGAGAUCGGGAGGAGCACCGGUGGCGAAGGCGGGUCUCUGGGCAACUCCUGACGCUGAGGCGCGAAAGCGUGGGGAGCAAACGGG